AACGAACGCUGGCGGCAUGCCUAACACAUGCAAGUCGAGCGAGACCUUCGGGUCUAGUGGCGCACGGGUGCGUAACGCGUGGGAACCUGCCCUUAGGUUCGGAAUAACUCCCCGAAAGGGGUGCUAAUACCGGAUAAUGUCUUCGGACCAAAGAUUUAUCGCCUUUGGAUGGGCCCGCGUUGGAUUAGCUAGUUGGUAGGGUAAAAGCCUACCAAGGCGACGAUCCAUAGCUGGUCUGAGAGGAUGAUCAGCCACACUGGGACUGAGACACGGCCCAGACUCCUACGUGAGGCAGCAGUGGGGAAUAUUGGACAAUGGGCGAAAGCCUGAUCCAGCAAUGCCGCGUGAGUGAUGAAGGCCUUAGGGUUGUAAAGCUCUUUUACCCGGGAUGAUAAUGACAGUACCGGGAGAAUAAGCUCCGGCUAACUCCGUG
rnacentral:rRNA from 1 species